rnacentral:pre_miRNA from 1 species
UUUUCGUUUUUCCUUGUCAAACGUUUGAUCAUCCGUUUUAUUUGAAAAAAAAUUAUGAUUAAUAUUUUUAUUCUCACUGGAUGAUAAAACAUUAACAUGAAUAGCACUCUAUGUAUGACUAAUUUUUUUAAAUUUUUAUAUAAUUUUUUAAAUAAAACGAAUGGUUUAACGUUGAACAUGGAAAAUAGAAGUUAGG